UCGUUGCAACACAAAGCUCAAGAAAAAUUAACUUCUAAAUGGAGGGGAGAGGAGAGAAGAAAAACCAGACUCGGAACGUACCCACUGCUGCCGUGCGGGUCUGAAAUGUGCCCAGAAAGCCUUGCGUUCAAGAGCCAUGGACUAAGACUGUGAGCCGAAAUAAACCUCCUCUUGACAAGGCUGAUUAUCUGGAGGACUCGUCACAGACACAGGAAGCUCACUAACGCAACCACCAUUUAAUGCAAGAAUGUUCUGGAAGUGAUGACAAAAAUAUCAGGACCAGAAUAGGGGACAGUUCAAGGAGGCAUCCAGGAGGGAAAGGUUUCACCACCGCCUGGCUGGCAAACAAUGGGCACCUUGGAAAACCAACAGAGCCACCAUACUGUACAGGAGAGAGAAACAACCCAGUGUAUUCCAGCGACAGGAAAUAGGGCCCACAAAGAAAUGUUUUCUGUUUUGUUCCUUCAGUAAUAAAAUAUCAUCACACCACAGCCAAUUGCUGCUCCUCCCUUUAGAAGGAAGCCCUGCUGUACCUGCUCUUUCAUCUCCUGGAUGGAAAAUGUCUAUCGGCUGGAAAUGCUUGCACAGUAGAAGAUAAACCGACAGAUGGAUGCCUGAGGCACUUGCUCUGGGGAAACAUGACGUGGACGUAACUUUUGCCUUGCCUCCCUCUCCACACCUUCAAUUCCCUAGGAUGGAUUACAUGACUCGG